CUAUCGAGAUGGGACUAAAGGUAUGCUAGUCGAACGACCAGAACUAUGUCUGGGAGUGGCACACUGCUCAGUAACACGUAGCUAACCUACCCUUAGGACGUGGAUACCCCCGAGAAAUUGGGGUUAAUCCGCGAUAGAUGUAAUGUCCUGGAAUGGUAUUACGUCUAAAGGUAUUUCAUACAUGUUUGGUAUAUGCCUAAGGAUGGGGCUGCGGCCGAUCAGGCUGUUGGUGAGGUAAUGGCUCACCAAACCUUUGACCGGUACGGGCCAUGAGAGUGGUAGUCCGGAGAUGGACACUGAGACAAGGGUCCAGGCCCUACGGGGCGCAGCAGGCGCGAAACCUCCUCAAUGCACUAACGUGCGAAGGGGUUACCUCGAGUGCCACCUGAAGAAGGUGGCUUUUCCUUGGUCUAAAAAGCCUAGGGAAUAAGAGGGGGGCAAGACUGGUGUCAGCCGCCGCGGUAACACCAGCCCCUCGAGUGGUGGGGAUGAUUAUUUGGCCUAAAGCGUCCGUAGCCGGCCGGGUAAGUUUCCCGUUAAAUCCAGCGUCUCAAGCGUUGGACUGCGGGAAAUACUGCCUGGCUAGAGAGUGGGAGAGGUCAGCGGUAUUCUGGGGGUAGGGGCGAAAUCCUUUGAUCCCCGGAGGACCACCAGUGGCGAAGGCUGCUGACUAGAACGCGUCUGACGGUCAGGGACGAAAGCUGGGGUAGCGAACCGGAUUAGAUACCCGGGUAGUCCCAGCCGUAAACGAUGCAUGCUAGGUGUUGGGUUGGCCACGAGCCACCCCAGUGCCGCAGGGAAGCCGUUAAGCAUGCCGCCUGGGAAGUACGAUCGCAAGGUUGAAACUUAAAGGAAUUGGCGGGGGAGCACCACCAGGCGUGAAGCCUGCGGUUUAAUUGGAUUCAACGCCGGA
rnacentral:rRNA from 1 species